rnacentral:rRNA from 1 species
AGAGUUUGAUCAUGGCUCAGGAUGAAUGCUGGCGGCGUGGAUAAGGCAUGCAAGUCAAGGGGGCCCGUAAGGCACCGGCANNNGAGGUAGUAACACGUACGAACGCNNNNCAUAGUCUGGCAUAGCUCGUCGAAAGACGGGGUAAUUCGGAUCCGCAAGGUAAAGUUUUUUNNNCAGGGAGCGGCGUGCGUAAUAUCAGCUUGUUGGUGAGGUAAUGGCUCCCAAGNNGACGUUUAGGGGAGCGAGAGGCUGACCNNCNNNGAUGGGACUGAGACACGGCCAUACUCCUCGGGAGGCCGCAGUCGAGAAUCUUCCGCAAUGGGGAAAGCCUGCGGACGACGCCGCGUGCUGGACGAAGUNNNGUACGUAAACAGCUUUUAUGUGGGACGAAAUUUUUGCGGUNNCACAUGAAUAAGGGGCUCCUAACUCUGUNNCAGCAGGAGCGGUAAUACAGAGGCCCCAAGCAUUAUCGGAAUCACUGGGCGUAAAGGGUGUCAAGGCGGUCAUGUUAGUCGUUCGUAAAAUCCGUGGGCUCAACCUACGGCUCGCGAGCGAAACGGCAUGACUAGAGGUUGGGAGAGGUGCGUGGAACUCCGGUGUAGGGGUGAAAUCCGUUGAUAUCGUGGGGAACACCAAAGGCGAAGGCAGCGCACUGGCCAAAUCUGACGCUCACACACGAAAGCCAGGGUAGCGAAGGGAUUAGAUACCCUAGUAGUCC